rnacentral:rRNA from 1 species
UACGAACUGUGCAAACGUUAUUCGGAAUCACUGGGCUUACAGGGUGCGUAGGCGGCCCGGUAAGUCAAAGGUGAAAUCCCUCGGCUCAACUGAGGAACUGCCUUUGAAACUGUCGGGCUUGAGGCCGGGAGGGGGUAGCGGAAUUCCCAGUGUAGCGGUGAAAUGCGUAGAUAUUGGGAGGAACACCGGUGGCGAAGGCGGGUCUCUGGGCCGAUACUGACGCUGAGGAGCGAAAGCGUGGGGAGCAAACAGG